AGCUCUGGUGGCGAGAUUGAGUGGGGUGUUUAAUUUUGCUGCCAUAGCCCCUGGAGUCUGAAACCAGUUCUGCUGGGAGACAGAUGCAGACCUGAGCACGUGUGUGUUCACACCUCCUUCCACGUUAACGUUCUCCUGUAGAUGUCAGAUGCCCUGCUGAUAAGAUGCGAAGCGAGCAGUGCUGAUACAAAGCUGGGGUGAUCACAGACAGCUCCUGGCCAGCCCAGAAGGACGUGACAUGAACUGCUCUGACACGUACAAGGUGCAUCCUGCGAGGAAAUACACGAGGGAAAAACAAAGGGACGGGCAGCGCGGCGCUCUGCGCAGAGCAUCAGUACGUCCCUCUGCUCCCCGCUGCGUUGGCGUUCUGCUCUUUUGCUGAUGUAAAGCGUGGAAGAGUUUGUCCCCACUGCUGCAGGAAGCUGGAGUUGCCCAGGCAGAAGCACUGAAGAAAAAAAACCUGUUGACCAGUUCAGCAUCUGCUCUGCACACAAGCAGCUUCCUCACCCUGCAGUCCAGGAAUUGAGCUGAAAGCAAAAGCACCCAGAGAUGCGAACAGAAGGGGACAGAUCUGGCUGGCAUCUCUGGUUCUGCCACUGAGGUGCGAAGGAGAAGAGGAGCGGUCACCGUCACCGAACCGCCCCGGCUCAGCGCCGGGCGCCUGCCUGCAGAUCUGCUCCUUAGGGCUUGUCCACACCACCGAGUUCAUUUUCUGAUGCAGGGGUCUGUGCUGAACACAUGCAUCCCUUCUGGCCUGGAGUAACACGGAACAGAGGCAGAUGGUCAAGUGUGAAUGACUGGAGAGGAAAGGCAAGGAGUAAGAAACAGCAGGAAAAUAUCCAUGGACGCUGUGGGUACCACAGGUGGGGAAGGCGCGUGACGCUGGUUAUGAGGAGGGAGUUUUGAAGCGUUCCCUGAACUUGGUUCCCACUCAGAUGUGGGAACUGCCCCAAAGUUCCUGGAGGAAAUCAAACACCGGUGGGCGCUGGAGCCUUCGUGAGAGGGAGAGGUGCAGCUGAGAGGUGCAGUGCCGCCGCCUGGCCCUGCACACAGCGUCCUUCCCACAGCGGCGUGGCCGCGUCCCGUGCGGGGGUUUGACAGCCGAGCCCUGCAGCCUGGAAGCAGAUCGGCUGUGGAACGGGGAAUCACCAUCUGCCGGCAGCUUCUCUGGGAAGAGCUCAGCCAGUCUGACGUCACAUACACGACGUUCUUUGGCCCUGAGGGUGAAAAGGCAUGCGUGAUGCUUUGCUCUGUUCCUGCUGUUCCUGCUGCUCCCGGUCCGACCUUUCCCCCCACGCUGCAGAAUCGGUGCCUGCAUUAAAACGGAUCAUCUUAUUUUUAUUUUUCUUUAAGUAGAGAUGAGUUACAAAGAACAAAAUGAAACUGUCUGUGUACAGAAAUUCUGGGCUUCUGGGUAAUCCUUCCUGUGAGUAGAGCUCCUGCAGCUGGAAUCCUCAUUUUGCUGGAAGCGGACGAGCUUUGCGGGGCUGCCCCUUGUGAUGGCAGAGCCAACCCAGCAGCAAAGUGUGGAGCAGCAGCAAAGUGAGAGGUCAAAAAGCGUGAGUCAGCCUCAGCAAAGCCCACUUUGUCUUGAAGAGAAAAACAAAGCGCAGAAAACAACUCCCUCGCCACGAUGCAAUGGUUGGGAUUUGUCGCCCCGUUUUCUUGCGGGUCCCCUGUGGGUGGGGAGGAACAGCCCACUCCCUCCCCCCCCCCCCCACUGUGCACGGCGCAGCUCGGCCGCCUGCUCCGCAUCCAACCCACGGACGGGGCUCGGGGCGCUCACUGCAGCCGGACGGAGCGGCCCCAGGGCUCCGCGUGCGAGCGCCCACUUCCCAAAGCAAGCACAUAAACACGGGGGGAGGGGGAGGCAGUGAACGCCGUGAGCUCAACAGCAGGAGCAGCACCGCGAGCUGCUGGGCUUUAUCUGCUCCGUGCUCCUCGUGGGAGGGUUUCGUGUCUUGCUGAGGACUCCGGGUGGGCGUGCAUCAGGGCUGCAUCAGGAGCUGCAGUCAGCUGCCGCCUGCCCGAGCCCUUGGCAGCCAGUUACUGGGAGAUGUCGGGCACCCGAAGGAGCGUGGGGCGAGAAGGGGCGAGAAGAGAAGGGGCUCCCGGAGGAGCGUCGCAAAGGAGCCGGGUUUCGCGGCCCCUCGGUGCUCCGCUGCCCGCAGCUCUUCCCGACCUUCCCCGCUCCCCGGCGCCUCCUGGCGUCUCCUUGGCGCUCCGCGUUCCCUCGCUCCCGGUGCAGCUCCCCGUGCUGUUCAGCGCUCCCCUUCUUGCCCUGCGAGCCGCCCAGGGGCAGCGCUCCGUCAGGGCCGCGCUGCGGUCCCUGUCCCUUCCCGACGCUCACAGCCGCGUCCUGCCCCGGGGCCCUGAGCUCUGCCCGCCACCGGAACGCCCCGGGCUCCAGCCGCCCCACGCCGGGCAUUCGUUCGGGUUUGUCUGCUUGGAAAGGUGAUUUUACCCUUGAAGAUGACACCUACUCACUCCGGUACACACCCUCAGCUGCAGCACAGCCCGUCUUUGCCAAUAAUUAGUUAUUUACAUGUAUUCAUGUAAAUACAUGUAUACAGGUAUUUCCUCCCCAAAUUCCCCCAUUCAACGGCUCUUGGAGCCAAGAGCUAUUGGCAGAGUUCUGGACGUAGCAUUAAGCAGCAGCACGGAGCAGCUCUGAUGUUCUGGUUUCCAGGUGCUGCUGCCGUGCAGCUUUCAGUCCUCAAUAUACUUCAGCAAAGGAUCCCACAAUUUUGUUUUUCCCUGGGCUUAAGUCGCAGAGCAGCGGCCAGAAGCCCUGUGUGAAAUGCGGGCAGCGCCUUCAGACAAGAACCAGAGCACCGUGGGUUUAAAAAAACCAAGAAUGUUGGAUUUUAUUAUCUUUAGACCAAUAGGAAAAAAAAAAUUUAAAAAACCGUGACCGUCUCAUGUACCCAGUAUUCCAUGGACACACAGCGCUGACCGAAGCGUGUGCUCCUGCAGCUGCAAACACAACUGGUUCCGUAUCUGGCGUCGUUCUCUUUGGGAGGGCUGCUCCUGGCACAGGACAAAACGUGGCAUUUUCAGUAGA